GUCGCUGUAAGUCCAGCGGCCUGGGAUUGGCGUCCCGGAUUCAGAGGCGGACACAACCGCCGUUUUCGAGCGGUUUUUUU
rnacentral:sRNA from 14 species